rnacentral:rRNA from 1 species
UACGUAGGGUGCAAGCGUUAAUCGGAAUUACUGGGCGUAAAGCGUGCGCAGGCGGUUUUGUAAGUUUGUCGUGAAAGCCCCGGGCUCAACCUGGGAAUGGCGAUGAAGACUGCAAGGCUUGAAUCUGGCAGAGGGGGGUAGAAUUCCACGUGUAGCAGUGAAAUGCGUAGAGAUGUGGAGGAACACCGAUGGCGAAGGCAGCCCCCUGGGUCAAGAUUGACGCUCAUGCACGAAAGCGUGGGGAUCAAACAGG